UGGGGGAUAUUGCACAAUGGGCGAAAGCCUGAUGCAGCGACGCCGCGUGGGGGAUGAAGGCCUUCGGGUUGUAAACUUCUUUUGCUCUGAACAAGGCAUGCUAAUGGGUGUGUUGCGCGUAGGGGUUGAUUAGCGCCGGCUAACUACGUGCCAGCAGCCGCGGUAAUACGUAGUGCGCGAGCGUUGUCCGGAAUUAUUGGGCGGAAAGGGCUUGUAGGUGGCUGGUUGCGUCUGUCGUGAAAGCUCAUGGCUUAACGGUGGGUUUGCGGUGGGUACGGGCUGGCUUGAGUGCAGUAGGGGAGGCUGGAAUUCCUGGUGUAGCGGUGGAAUGCGCAGAUAUCAGGAGGAAUACCGGUGGCGAAGGCGGGUCUCUGGGCUGUUACUGACACUGAGGAGCGAAAGCAUGGGGAGCGAACAGG
rnacentral:rRNA from 1 species